rnacentral:rRNA from 1 species
GACGAACCGUGCGAACGUUGUUCGGAAUCACUGGGCUUAAAGGGCGCGUAGGCGGGCAUCAUAGCCAAGGGUGAAAGCCCCCGGCUCAACCGGGGAAGGGCCUUUGGAACUGGAUGCCUCGAGGGGUGCAGGGGCGUGCGGAACUUCGGGUGGAGCGGUGAAAUGCGUAGAUAUCCGAAGGAACACCGGUGGCGAAGGCGGCACGCUGGACACCUGCUGACGCUGAGGCGCGAAAGCCAGGGGAGCAAACGGG